GUUUAUUCACCUGUGAAAUGGAGAUAAAUGAAUACUACUUGAAGUGAAAUCUGCUGCUAUUCAAGUUGUUUUUCCCAAUAGAUUUUGAUCAUUUGGCUAACUGCUAACAUUCCAUCAAAAGAAUGGAGAAGAGAUUAAAAACUAACAAAUCUUGGCUUCCUACUGACUGAGAAUCGUCAGGAAGCAGGCAGCAAGUGGAGGCUGAAACUGAAGUCACUGGAGAUUUCUUUGAUGUUAAAGGCUUGCAGUAUACGCUUGUCUCUGCUGC